GUGUCUUAACAAAAAGAAUAUUCAGGAGGACAUUUAAUUCAUUUAUAUAAUUUUGAUCAAAGAUAUCAGUUAUCAAUCAUGAACAUUCUGAAUGUUAAUUCAAUCUAUAGUCUGGAUCCCCAACCACUUUUAAAUUAUAUUUAUAAUUCUGAAGUUUCUCCAAUUGAUUCGAAAAUGCCCUUGAUAGCCUCUAGUAAUAAUUGUAGCACGAAGCAUUUAACUGUACAGCUUGGUACAGGAAAUUGGUAUUUGUCCUGAUGUUCCCCAUGCCGUCAAUGUCUCUAAAAACAAAACCCCAGAGGGCAACGGCGUGGGGGUUUUAAAAGAGCCCCCUGCUGGGUAUAAGGAUGAUGCUAACAAUGAACUAUCUCCUUCUUCAUUAGCUGCUAAAUCUUUACCUUUUUUCAUUACUUUUCAGCAAAUUUUAACGAAUUCUUUAACUGUCAAAUGGCAAGCUUUGUUCUUUGAUAAAAAACUUUAUAUAACAAUCCCUGAAGGUGGUUUACCUGAAGGUUCUAAAGAAAGUUUUGUUAACUUGUUAGAAUACACUGAGGAAAUAUUACAUUGUAAGAAUGCAAUUGUCUGUUUUAAUAAAAAUAGAAUGGAUAAAGGUUGUUUGAUAAAAACUUUUAUGUUUUUGGGAUUUUCUUUGCUACCACCAGGACAUCAAUUCACUUUAAAACAUUCUGAUAAAAUAUUUAUGUCUUAUGAUAUAUAAUUUUUUCUAUAAUUUUAUUAAACUAAUGAGGAAGGUUUUUAUUUUAUAUUGUUAGCAUAAAACUUAUAUUUCAGUAGCUACCCCAUUAAUUUUAUCUUUAUUUUAAAAAGUUUCAUUAUUUCAAUAUAUCACUAAUUAAUUACUUAAUUUGUAAUAAGUAUUGUUUAAUUAUAAAUGUUUUAAUGUUAUUUUUUUUUUACAUAUUACAAUGAUAUAAUUGUAUUUUCCAUAUAUUAUUAAAUUUCAUUACCAAAUAAAUAUUUUAAUCACUGGAACC